rnacentral:rRNA from 1 species
UACGUAGGGUGCAAGCGUUGUCCGGAAUUAUUGGGCGUAAAGAGCUCGUAGGCGGUCUGUCGCGUCUGCUGUGAAAACUCAGGGCUUAACCCUGAGCUUGCAGUGGGUACGGGCAGACUAGAGUGCGGUAGGGGAGACUGGAAUUCCUGGUGUAGCGGUGAAAUGCGCAGAUAUCAGGAGGGAACACCUGCGGCGAAGGCGGGUUGCUGGGCUGAUACUG